CCCCUAGAUGUUCUGGGCCGCACGCGCGCUACACUGAACAGUUCAACAAGUCUUAACCUUGGCCGAUAGGUCUGGGUAAUCUUUGAACGCUGUUCGUGAUUGGGAUAGACCUUUGCAAUUAUGGGUCUUCAACGAGGAAUUCCUAGUAAACGCAAGUCAUCAGCUUGCAUUGAUUACGUCCCUGCCCUUUGUACACACCGCCCGUCGCACCUACCGAUUGAAUGGUCCGGUGAAAUCUCGGGACGGCGGCUUGGUCGCUUGCGUCCGACUGCUGAAACUUUAUUAAACCAUAUCAUUUAGAGGAAGGUGAAGUCGUANCA
rnacentral:rRNA from 1 species